AGCAGUGGGGAAUAUUGGACAAUGGGCGCAAGCCUGAUUCAGCCAUGCCGCGUGAGUGAUGAAGGCCUUAGGGUUGUAAAGCUCUUUCGCACGCGACGAUAAUGACGGUAGCGUGAGAAGAAGCCCCGGCUAACUUCGUGCCAGCAGCCGCGGUAAUACGAAGGGGGCUAGCGUUGUUCGGAUUUACUGGGCGUAAAGGGCGCGUAGGCGGAUUGAUCAGUCAGGGGUGAAAUGCCAAGGCUCAACCUUGGAACUGCCUUUGAUACUGUCGAUCUCGAGUCCGGGAGAGGUGAGUGGAACUGCGAGUGUAGAGGUGAAAUUCGUAGAUAUUCGCAAGAACACCAGUGGCGAAGGCGGCUCACUGGCCCGGAACUGACGCUGAGG
rnacentral:rRNA from 1 species